GGGGAAGAAGGAGAAGAAGAAGAAGAAUUUUAAGAGGUUUUACGAGUUCUCUUCCAUGGCUUUUUUCUGUCCAGGCUGUUACUGUGGAGUGUGGGAAUUGGGUUGUCACAGAAGCCUUCUGUGUCUCUCUUCCUCAACCAUGAGUCUGCAGUCAUCAAUAGCACUCCAAAGGUAGCUUCUUUGCUCUUUACAGUCAAAGGGAGCACUAAUUGGAUUUGAGACAAUUGGUUAAGAAAGACAAGAAUCUUCCACUUCAGGCUCAGCUCAGCAAAGUAGAGACAUCUCAGCUUACUACUCAGCCUAAAAUGCAGAACUCACUAUGUAGUGACAGCUACAAGCUUCCCAGGAAGGACCCAGGAGCCUGGACCCAGGACCUCUGCAACAGAACAUGGAGAAUGUUCUGCCUACCAAGAGGAGAAGACAGUCAAUGCUGCGCCCGAAAGAUGGGGAAUCAGACUGGAAGAAUGAUCUAAUGUUGGAUUUAAUAGAAAAAAAUUUUAGUCACCAUAGUUGUUUCCAGAAUGAAAGGAAGACGUGACAAAAGAUGUAAAGGGGGCUGUGGAAGACACCUGUCAUCACAGCACUGCAGGAGAACUGUGGGGGCUGAGGCAGGAGGAUGCCUUGUGUUUGGUAGUUUGAGGCUAGCCUCAGCUAAACACUCAGACCCUGUCUAAAGAAUUAAAAUUCUGUCUUGAAAAUGGUAGAAAUAAAAACCAAUGCAUUCACUGAAGGAUCUCAACAGUAGAUCCAGACCAAUAGAACGAGGAAUAAGAAAGCUUGGAACGAGCUAGAUGGCAGAAGGGACAUGUGAGGCAAGCAGCCAGAGAAACACUACUAUCAAGAGUAACAGUGGUGCUAGAACUGGGGGAAAGGCCAGAGGAUGGGUAAAAAUGCAUAAAAUUUAUGAAACUUACUUUUAAAAACUGAUAACAUAUAUACCCAGAAAUUCCAAAUAAGAGAUUUACAAAUAGACAAAUGCUGGCAAAACAAUGCUAAAAAUCAAACAAGAGGAACACAUGAAAGCAGCAAGAAGACAUGUUGGGACUCAUGGGCGAACAGGACCCGUGUGACAGCUGCUGCUUCUGAGUGGAAACAGCAAAGAUCAGAGAUACGGUGCUCAAAGGAAAACCCAGCAGCCAAGAGCUGUCUUUCAAUAAUGAAGACAAAAUAAAGACAAAUUUUUCAAGGUUAAAAACUUACUGAAUAGUAUAGACAUUAGUGGAAGGCUUUCUUCAGGCAGAGAGCAAAUGAUACUGCAUGAUUGUUGGAAUACACACGAAGCCGCUCCACAGUAUGCUUACCUCUGUUUUCCAUGCAUAAGGCCCUGAGUUCAAGCCUCAGUAGGACCAGGUGCUGGACUAUUAAUCUUAGACUCAGUGCAGCUCAGUGGGGGAGCACUUUGUAGUAUGUAUGAACACACACACACACACACACACACACACACACACACACACUAUAAACACCAAUAAAGAUAAUUCUAUAAUUUUUGUAUGGAUGUAUAUUUCUCAGAUCUUCACAGAUAUAGAAAACAAUUUGCAUAAAACAAAUGAUAUAUUAUACAAUGUUGGGGCUACAACAGAUGGAGACGCAUUUGUCCAUAAAUAGCACAAAAGAAUUGGAUGGCUGCAAAGUAGUGUAAUGCCAACUAUGAUCACAGCUGGUAAGUAAUCAUAGCAAUAUUUGUUAGACUUGUGACUUUAGCAUACAGGGUAAGCAAACACACACAAAUAAAGAUUGAGGGGAGCAGUAAUCAGUACAAUCAAGCUGAUAUAAACCCUAAACUAAUUCUGAUAAGCUAAAAGGUGUGUGUGUGUGUGUGUGUGUGUGUGUGUGUGUGUGUGUGUGUGUGUGUGUGUGUGUGUAUGUUUCUAGCAUGAGCCCUAUGGGGAGGAAAACAAUUUCUAGAAAGGAUCUGGGGAGAUGACUCAGUGAGUAAAAUACAUGAGAAUCUGAGUUUGAGCCCCCAGAACCCAAGCUAAUAAGUAAACAGAAGCUGGUAGUCAUCUAAGAACCUAUGGCUGGAGAGUUCAUAGAGGCUAGAGGAGAACCUACUAUUAUUUUGCUGGCACGGCAGCUAUCAAACUGACAUCUAGACACUCAGAUGUAUACACGUAGAUUAGCCCAGCCCUCAGCCCUCAUCAGAGAAAGCUCGGUUUCACAAUGGUCAUCCAUUACCAUAGUGACUCACAGCUGAUCGGAGAGCAGCAUAUGAGUAACCGUGAAGCCGUCAGUCCUAAGUGGGACAUCCCUAGCACAUCCCCUUCCCACCCAGCUCAGGAAGCAUCCAGGGUUGGGGAGGAGUGUGGUGAGAAGCGUCUUUCAGACGGGACAAGGCUGCUGCACAGCUGUAGCCACCACACAACACUAGCACAAGAUCUAACUAGGCUCAACCCCAGCCCAGACAGACGGAGGGAGGGCCGUGACGACCGGCCAUCUGAAGACUUUGGCAGGUGAAGUUUCCUAGGCUCAGGAGAGUUGGUUGUCUUCAGGGGAGGAAGUGGCACCUGGUAUUGCGUGUGCUCCGGUGGGUGGCCCCACACGCGAGCACAGAAAGAUGGUGUGGAUACUAUUCCGUAAGUUAUCAAAAGAGGACAUGAAGCUGGGGAGAGGUUUUGGGCAUGUAUAAAAUUCUACAAGAUUAAACGUUUUAAAAGAGCUUUUAGAAGGUGGAUGUGGUGGUAUGUACACUGAGUGGCAAAGACAAGAAGGACCUGUGGGCUUGCUAGCCAACUAGGCUGUCCAAUCAGUGAACUCCAGAUUCAUUGAGAGGGGGGGAGAGAGAGAGAGAUGGGGGGGAGAGGGAGAGGGAGAGGAGGAGGAGAGGAAGAAGAGGAAGAAGAGGGAGAAAAGAAGAAGAAAGUUCUUAAAUCACCAUUUCUAGAUGGUCACAAGAAAAAGAACAAAUUAAUCUAGAGCAGUGGUUCUCAACCUUCCUGACACUGUGACCUUUUAAUACAGUUCGUCAUGCUGUGAACCUGCAUAACCCAACCAUAAAAGUUAUUUUGUUCCUGCUUCAUAACUAAAAUUUUGCUACUCUUAUGAAUCAUAGUGUAAAUAUCUGAUAUACAGGACAUCUGAUAUGUGACCCCUGUAGAAUCGGUGGUGGCCCAAACCCCUGGGUAGCCCAGGGACGCUCCCUCAGCAACUACAUGCCUCUCUGUCCACCUCCGUUGUACCUUCCGUACCUGCUGUACCUGCGGUGUCUCCAUUUCCACCUCUCAGCCAGCUUGACCUGCCAAUACUUAUUACAACGAGUCAUUGAUCGGGUUCACGGUUUCCGGAGCACCACAAACGUUGAAAUAUUGCUGAAACUCAUCUCUGCUAUCCCGUUGUUGCUCAGAGUCAGAGUGAUUGCGCAGCUGGACAGCUCAUCUGGGGACAGGACCCUGGUGAGCCCCAGGCCUCGUCACAACCCCCUGCCCUCAGUGCCAGCCACCCCACUGGCACCCAGGGUGCGAUCACUGAUCAUCCUGCUUUCAUCCACGGGCAGUGCUGAGACCCUACGCUCUCCUCCCUGCUUCUCCUAACAGGGCAAACAGCACAAGCAGCAGAAAGACACCUACACAUUAUGAAUCCUGCUCACUAACUUCUCGAAAUAGAAUUUCAACAUGAAUUCAUUCCCUGCCACUCAGCCCUGAGCUUCCAUGUACCCCUGUGUAUCAAGGACCCCAAAUCUGAGCCAACAUUUUCCUGAAAUGCAGACAAGUCAGAAGCAGAGGCUCGCCAUGUGUGCCAGAGUUCUCCAGGCGUCUCCACGGCUGUCCAGCCAGACUCCGUGGAGAUGAUCCAGGAAUCUGCAGUUUUGGGCAAGCCUUCACUCAACUGGUUCAUCUGUGGCUACAACCAUGUAUCCCAUGGGCCUGAAGCCCACCAAAGUUUGUUCAGAUGCUGCCCCAAGAAUACUUGGCACAUAACAUCCUCGAGUGUGAUAAAACUCACAAGACAACCCAAUGUGAAGAUCCUUCAUCGUUAACUGCUAAUGUGGUUGGGGACAUAGACGGAAGGUGGGUGGCAGCAGGGGCCAGACUCUCAAGGCUCAGAGCCCAGGCAGGGCUGCUGGGCUUGGAAUUCCGGGGCAUUUACAACAUCUUGAUUGUAUUUGAGAGAUCAGAUCUUUUUAAGUUCAGACUCCACUCAUGACCUGAGUUUGAAUUCAGGUAAGCUAACAGGCUGGUACCUAGCAUAGUUUCCAAGUUAUCCCCAUCCCCCCCAACAUAACCCGAGCCUAGCUCCAGUUUCUGGGAUAUCACCAACAAAUCCAGCAUGUCCAGGUUAAUCCCGAACGAGCCCACCCCCUGCCUAAUAACCACCUAUGCAGAGGGAAGCAGAAGUUAAGUUUAUGGUUUGACUCCCAGCGCCAGCCAGUGAUGCUAAAGACCACAGUAGCUCUCCAAUUAGACAUUUGCCAGGCUAGAGACACUCAGCCCGCUCUUGCUGCUUUCUAUAAAACCUUACCCAGAUAGAUGUUCAGGGCUCCUCUCCACCCAAACCAUCCUGCAUGUCAGUGGUGGACUGAGGGGCCUGAACUAGUUCAAAUAAAGGCCCUGGUAUGAUUGCAUCAGAUCAGCUUUCGGCUGGUCUUUGGGGGUUCACUAACACUUAACACUUCCCUGGUACUACAGGCUGAGAGGUGCCUAAGAGACCAGAAAAGCCCACUUCUUUCUAUAAGGGCAUUCCCAGAGAUGAUUGGCAUGUUGGAGAAUAAAUGAGAGGGUAAAACUGGCCCUGAAUGUGGGUGGCACCAUCACCUAGACUGUAAUUUUCUACAACAGUAGCAUACUAGAGGCUUUUCAUAAGUGACCAGUAGCCUUUGAACCCUUCUUGACAAUACUAAGGCAUUAUAUGAAGAAGAAGAAAGGAUCUAGCACUGUCUUGUCUUGGGUCAUGGUGGAGAAGCUAUGAUUGGUUAAGUGACCUUUUCUAUGCAUCCUGAUUCUUUCAUCGGGAUAAACUCUCGUCCUUGUGAUGGUCCUGCAUAGCGUUUGGUGGUAUCCCUGUGAGAUCACGAUGUCACCCAGGAGCAGACAUGUGUCAUAUAGCCACAUUCCACUGACUAUGGCUAUCUCAGAAGACCCUAGACCUUAGACUGCCUAUCCAGAGUCCAGGGGUUGGGAAACCAUGGAGAUGUGCUAGGUCUGCUUGCAUGGUCUGACCUCCAUAGAUAGGAGCAGCAAGUAAACUAUUUCAGGUGCCAAACGAAAGUGUGAGGCCAGUCCCAGGCUGAAAUAUAAGCGGCACUGACCUAAGAGAUGUCAUGGCCAAGGUCUCUUUACACCAGCCCAAACAAAGGACUUCUAUGCCCUGGAAUCACUGUGACCCCAGGGCACCACGUUUGGUAUCAACAAUGUGAACUGAACAGGCUCUGUGUCUCAGGAAGGCUGGAUGCCGCAGUACGUAUCUGCAAUCCCAGCUCUGGAGAAAUCUCCCAGGCAGGAGAUCCACUGACCAGUCAGUAUAGCCAAAUUGGCAAGCUCCAAGUUCAGUGAGAGACCCUGUCUCAAAGAGUACAGUGGAGAAUGAUUGAGAAAGGCACUCAGAAUCUGGCCUCCUGACGCAUGUGUAAGCAUGUGCACUCACGCAUGUGUGCACACAUCCAUGGAUUCUAAUGCACACACAUACACAAUGGGAAAAUGAAAUAAUUUUGUCCCUAGUUACUAGGUGCUUUGGCAACUGAACAUUUUCUUAAGCUAAGCAUGCUUACCCCACAUGGAUACAAGCACAUGAUCUGGUAGCAACUGGAGUCACCAACACCAGCCCUUAGACACCAGCUGCCCGGUGGGCAGGGAGAGGCUUAGAGGUGGUCAAGCCUUGCCUCAACACAUUGAAGUCAUGUCAUAGGAGCCCAUAGCCCAAGGUGGCCCAAAGGUGGUCUUAAAUAUGAGCCUGAUACACAGUCGGAAAGUAGCAUAAAGGGGAGCUCUAAUCUUCUCCAUCUUAACUUACAUUUGCAUGUGUGCUUUUUAAUGGCUGCCCCUAUCAGUGUGUAAGUACAAAAGUAUUUUGUGCAUGCAUAAAUAUUACAAUACACACAGUAUACAAUACGCAGUGUCAUUUACUGGUGGGAGAUGCAAUCUAAAAGACUUAGUGACAGUGAGACUGUAGUACUUGUUCCUUAUGCUUGCUUAGAUGCCUGUCAGCACAUCUCCGUGUCUACUAAGCCUCUCACACUGAAUGCCAAGAGAGGACACUGGGAGCCAUUGGGGAUCUGGUAGCACUGAGUCUAAUGCACCCUAUUCUAGGCUAGGGUCUCUGGAAACCCCAGCCUUUUUGGGAAUGGAUACAGCGAUGCUCUGUAAGGGAAGGCUUGGGACAACCUUUCUUUGAGUAAGCCACUCUGGACUUCAAAUUCAUCCUCCCUAGAAGAGUAAGACGCACCUCAUGGCACUGAGGUGAGAUCACGUGAGAUAAAGGGAGACAGAGGUUAAGGGACUGUAAAGCCUCUCCCUCCCAUGGCCAGGCAUGGAGGUAAGGGAAUCCCCAUGCUGAGAGGCCUACUGCAGAAUGAGCCUGGCUUCCACUUAGCUGGACCAAAAGUUACACAUGUGAAAGUGGGCAAGGUACCUACUCUCCCUGUGCCUGCUGCUGACGUAGGCAGAUACAUUUGAGCUCCACAGAUCUCAUCUUGGCUCUGGCCGUAGGCCAUGCUGAACCUCAUUCUAUCUGCCUCCUACACUUCUACCCCACACUAGUACCCAGCCACUCACACCUGCCAUCAGCCAUCCCUACUGUCCUCAGGUUCCUACAUCUGCUGGAGAACUUCAAAGGCAAGGGCACCAUCACUCAUGCACAUAGAGGUAGGCACCCAUUCAGGGCACCCCAGGAUCCUCCCACCUCACAGGCAAAAGCUGACUCCCACCUCUUGCUUCCUUGUCUUGUACCCAGGCUGCUUCAUGUUUCCCUGCUAGAAAUAGAACAAGCCAAGGCUGCCUUGCCCAGUCACAGAGUCAGGAGCCUUGGGCUCUCUACAUCUAUCCAUUAAACACCUAGAAGCUCUUGACUACUUAGAAUGCACAACCCUUACACUUCCUAUCACCCCAGUCACCUUAAUGCAUGCUCAAACCCCAGGCCAAGGGCCCCAGAUGGUCUCCCCAGCUAUUUUCCUCUUAAGAACUUCUAGAGAACAUAGACUCCUUUGUCGGUUAAUCUCAAAGGGGCCAAAUGAGCCCCCACCCCUGUGAAGCAGGAGAAAGAGGAGUUUGCUCCAGGGUUUUGUGGGAAUGUAGAAGGAAAAUGAGGCAAGCUUGUCUUUGCCUUAAUCCAGGCCCGAGAAGGAUCCUCGUGGGUCAGAGGCCUCUGCCCCCUGUGGCUACUGCACAAGCUGCCUCUGUAGGGCUAGACUGUGCCUCUUGCUGUUCCACUGGAUCCAAGGUGAACACUUCCUCCUAAGUUGAAGGCUUCUCAUGCGUGGGCACAUGGAUCAUACACCCCACUCCAUGUCUCCUCCAGCCCAGCACAGUGUAUGGCACCCAGAGCCAUUCAUGCAUGCUGAAGUAAAACCUUAGGGCCAACCAGGCCCAACUCAGCAGUGUCUAACAAGUGGAUACUCAAUGCUCCCUAAUGGACUAAAAGACAGUCUAUUCCUGACCCUCUCCUGAAGACAGCCCCAGAUUCUAGAAGACCCUAAAAGUCAGCACUGAGCUUCCAUGUCGAAACGCAGCUUUUACUAAGUGAGAGAUCACCCUUGAUCCCGGGAAGGAAUGACUGAAAUGAGAGACGGACAGUACUGCCAGGGUCAGGUCAACAGGAUCUGCACACCCUUUCACUAUCAGAAUACCAAAGCCAGGUCAUCUGUGGUUUCACCCCCAGGGUGACACAUUUCCCUAUGUGGGCAUCCAAGCCAGGCAAUCUGUGCCUAAAUAUUGCCGAGCUGUGAAUAGGAAGCGCAGGGCAUG